UCCCCUAGUAACUGCGAGUGAAGCGGGAAAAGCUCAAAUUUAAAAUCUGGCAGUCUUUGGCUGUCCGAGUUGUAAUCUAGAGAAGUGUUGCCCACGCUGGACCGUGUAUAAGUCUUCUGGAAUGAAGCAUCAUAGAGGGUGAGAAUCCCGUCUUUGACAUGGACUCCCAGUGUAUUGUGGCGUGCUCUCAAAGAGUCGAGUUGUUUGGGAAUGCAGCUCUAAAUGGGUGGUAACCUCCAUCUAAAGCUAAAUAUUGGCAAGAGACCGAUAGUGAACAAGUACCGUGAGGGAAAGAUGAAAAGAACUUUGGAAAGAGAGUUAAACAGUACGUGAAAUUGUUGAAAGGGAAACGCUUGAAGUCAGUCACAUUGGCCAGGGAUCAACCCAACUCUUUUGUUGGGUGUACUUCCUGGUUUGAUGGGCCAAUGUCAGUUUUGACUGCUAGAGAAGGGCAGAGGGAAUGUGGCACCUUUCCAGGGUGUGUUUAUAGACUUUUGUCAUAUAUAGCAGUUNGGACUGAGGUAUGCAGCGCACCUACAAGGCCGGGUUUUGACCACGUUUGCGCUUUGGAUAUUGGCAAUAAUGGCUUUAAUCGACCCGUCUUGAAACACGGACCAAGGAGUCUAACAUAUCUGCGAGUGUUUGGGUGG
rnacentral:rRNA from 1 species